CUCCUCACUCCCUCUCUCUCUUCCUCUCGGUCCCAUUCUCCCCAUCUCCACAUGCUCAUGGCUGGCCUCUACUCCUCUUCUCUUCUCUUCUCUCUCUCUCUCUCUUCCUCUCUCUCUCUCUCUCUCUCUCUCUCUCUCUCUCUCUCUUCCUCUCUCUCUCUUUCUCUGCUAUCUCCUCAAUCCCCCUCCUUCCCCAUGCCAUGCCCUGAAUAAACUCUAUUCUAUACAAUAUUGUAUAGAAUAUUGUCCUAUACAAUAUUGUCCCAUGGCUGGCACCUCAGGGGGCAGGGGUGCCUCAGCGUAGGCCCGCAGAGGUGUCCCCUUCCCCCACACUAUACCACCCCUCCACCAAACAUACCCCCCUUUUCUUUCUUUUUUUUUAAUAUAAAACACAACAGUGACCUUAGCUUCCUGGGCCUCAACAUCUAUCUAUCUUCAGGGAUCGAACCCAGGGACUGAUAGCAGUGGCUGAUAAAUAAGUUGAAAAAACAAGAAAGUUUGAGCCGCACCAUGAAAAUUCUUCUGUCCAGAGAAAGCUUGUCUGGGUGUGUUCUGUGGCCCUCUGAGGGCAUCGUGCUUUGUCUAGCUGUCUACGACUACACACUCCACUCUUUGUGUCUCUAAAGGGCACAGGGCUUUGCAACAGGAUGGGGUAGCCUCGGCUCCUUCCCAGCACAGCCCACUGCAGUAGUUAAUGUGUGAGGCCAGGAGUUCGGGGUGACAGCUCACAUAGCUGCGUGCUGAGGGGUGAGAAUCUGGCACGAGGACCCCCCAGCCAGAGACCUUUGUCUGCAGAUGUCCACCAGAUACUUUUAUGGACAGUGGACAAGGUGAGGGUAUUUGGCAACGAUAUACUGGGAAGAUAGAAGAAAAGCAUCACUUUCAGGAGGCAUUCUGACGACAUGUUUUAGAGAGAGCCAAGACCUUCAACAUCGUUGGCCAGAGCUCUUGCCAGUAAGCCACACCUCCAGUUCCUCCUUACAAUUUAAACCACUGCAUAACCAGUUCAUUCCUGCCCACAAAUAAAACUGAUCUCUAUGCCAUGA